rnacentral:lncRNA from 1 species
GUUAAGGAAAAAAGAAAAAAGCCCAACCCAAAUAAAAAAGAGGAAAAAGUGUUUUGUCAAAACGGCUGUCGUGGGGCAUCGUUGCCGCGUUUCGUCCAAAGACGGUCAGAAAGGGUUUCUGUUUACUCAUACCCCACAAACACACUCUCUCUCUCUCUCGACUGUUCUACUUCUUAGCAGCGAGGACCUUAGAAAUGCUCCGAAAACCUGUAAGUGCUUUUUUCUCUCUCUGCUUUUACAUUUGUACUUGGGCGCAAUAGCUUUAGCUCAACCUCAAAACAAAUUUCAAUGAUUGCUAUUACUUCAUAAUCUGAUUUGUCAAGGCAUGUGAUGUGGUGAAAAUUGUACUUCUUAUGGGUAGAGAUUUGGGCAAUUGUCUUUGAAGUCUUCAUUUUUUUUCCUUUAAACUGUGUCUUUGAAUGAAUCUUCAAAUUCUGAAAGUGCUCGAAUUUUUUAUUAUAAAUGUUAUAUUAAUUGUCUGAAAAUUUGUAUGCAAUACAAGAUGGGUUUUGUCAUGGUUCUUGAUGUUUUGCAUUUCCAAUGAUGUUAAAAUUGAAACAACUCAGUUUCAAUCAUCAGUGGAAGUGAAUUAGUUUACUUUUAAUCAUUGCUAUUGACCAAAUAAAUAUAGUAGAAACCAUUCGUAAUAAUAUCGUGUACUAUUUCGUUCAUGGUAGGAUCUCGUUAGGGGAUUUCAUUACCUCAUUGACCAUGCUAGAGGAACUUUUAUAUCCACAACUUCAGCCAACCAAACUAAGCUUAUUGUUGGAAACUAACAAAUAAGUAAAAGCCGAAAUCUUUAUAUUGCCCUGCCUGCACUUUAUGAAAGCCACCGUGGUUUUUUUUAUUCAUUAGGUCAUUUAAUUAUUGGAAAGUAAAUCCUAUUAUUUGAAGGAUUUUUUUAUUUUAAGAAAUACCUUGUGCAAACUGCAAACAGUCUGUACUGUUGAAAGCUCACCUCUAUUUACAGAGUUGAUAGAGAUGAUGUUUGUGCAGCUAGAAAUACAUUGUGUGAAGUAAAAUACAAAUCGAAGAUGAGAUGAAAACUCUAUGAAUUAAGAGUGCAUUUUGAGUCUCAAAGACAGACAUACAUUGUGUGAAGUAAAAUACCACGAAUAGUCUUUGGUCUUCUAGAGACCUCAUCAAUAUUCAAUAAUCCCAUUGAAGAGUUUGUGAGGUUGCCUCACCAAAGUAAUGUAUUAGUCGGCUCUUUUAAUAGAAGCUCUUCUAGAUUUUAAAAUAUGCCAUAUCACAUUUUGUUAUACUAAUCAAUGUUUUAGAAAGCCGAUAUCUUCCCAGUCUACGCAUGACCUCGUUCUGCUACAUUCAUGAGAUUCUACGGUUUAGGGAGUUUGCUGCGAUCCUGGUCUUGUUUAUCCAGUUAACUUGUAUCCAUGGGGACUUGACUAACAAAGGUUUCUGAACUCUGAUUAUUAAGUUGCAGAGAAAACAGUUUUUUUAGUAAAGGGGAUGAACAAAAGAAAAAGGACCUUUGUCCACCUGCUUCGCUUAGCUCUCUCAAGUAAAUUACCAUUGCUUGUGGGAGAGGCCAUUGCCUCAGGUUCCUCCACAAGAAGAGUUGAAGAUGGUGCAACAUCAGAUCCCGUUACCUUACUUCGAAUGGAAUUUUAGCCCAUGAAUUUUAAUUUUCUAGAGUUUAUGGCCUUUUUUCUUUACUAGAUUCCGCAUAUAUUUUCUUCUUUAUGCCCCCCUUUGAAGUUGAAUAUGUGUGUGAGUGGUGCAGGCAAUACUCUUCUGUCAAUUGUGGUCACUUCAUAUAGUUGAAUCAUUUAUUGUGAUAUCCUUUGGCCCAGUCUGGUUCCUUGGAUUCAUCUUGGCCCAGUCUGGUUUCUUGGAUUCAUCUUGGCUAUCUAACAUCCUGAAAUCAUUUUAUAAUAUCUUCCACGGUUUACCAAGGAUUUACCUGCAUCUUUUUCCAUGUACUUAUUUUAGCUGUGAAAGUAUUUGUUCAUUUAUUUAUUUUUCCGUCAGUUAAAAUAACUCUGACUUUGCAAGGGGCCAAAAAGGAGACAGUAAAGACAUUAUUGGAUGGGAGAAAAUUUGAAAAUCCUUUGAUUAGCCAAUUUGAUUUAUAAAAUGUAUUCCAUUUCACAAUUCUAGGUAAGAACUAAUUGUAAUGAAAUUUGACAAGAAAAUAUACAGGUAUAAGGCAAUUCAGGGAUGACGGAGAAUUAGUUUUUUCGUUUAAGGUUAUUAUUGAUUGUUAUAAAAUGCUCAAUAUUCAGUAGCACUUCAAAAUAGUCAUCCUGCUCUCCUUCCUUCCCUUUUUUUUUUUUUUUUUUCAAUUAGAAAGGAGUGCAUGAUGACUAUUUUGGAGUGCCAAUAACAGCUCCCAUAUUAAGUAUAAAUUUUCAUCUCAUGGAUAAAAAGACAUGAUGAUCAUUGAUCUGGUAGGUAGUGUGGGAUCACGAACAAUGAUUAUUUCAAUGAUACUAACUGAAAAAGUAAACUUAGCUACGAAUUCCACCCAACAGAUAAAGAUAUGGUGAUAAGUUAGGGAUCAUUGAACAGUCUGGCUAUAGAAUUAUAAACUUUUAUUACUGGAGUAUUUUCUGCUGGUUUGGUGCUUGAAGCUUCUUGUUCCUUUCAAUUAUUGAAGUAUGUAAUGAAAUAUCAUUUCCUUCCACAAUUCAUGCCAAUUUUCUGGUGGAAGUUUGAAUAUCAUUUGUCACUCCAGAAAAUUCAUAGGGUUGUACUGUACAUAUUCAUACCAUUUUAAGAGGGAGCCUGAGGUUGGUUUAGAAUGGACGUAAUGCCAUUAUGGCUAGGUGAAUAGAGAUCAAUUGACUAAUGACAAAGACAGUUCCAUUCUCAGUGCCCCAUUUGUGUAUUGAUGUUGUUUGUUGAAUAUCAUUUUGUCUUUCCAGAAAACAAGUUAACUAUUUUGAGAAAGAUUUUAUUUCUUAUAAUACCUGAUACUGAUGACACUCUCUUUGCGUAGAUUAUCUAAAUCUAGAUUGUUUAUGACACCUUAAAAUUGGAUCACAUAACUAAUAUAUGUGGCUUUUGCCUUCAUUAGGUGUUUGAUCAACAGGGAAAUUGAUUGAAUUGUCUGCAACAUAUGAUGAUAAGUAUUAAAAUCAUCAUCAUCAUAAUCACCAUGGUGAAUUAAGUGUGUAGGCAGUCUUGAUGACUUUAUAUUAUGACUAAUUAAGAUGUGAUUACUGAAAUGAUUUCCAUGAAUAUUGCUGACAUGGAAGUACCUUGUACAGCUAUACAAUUGAUAUGCGUUGUACCAAGUGAAAUGUUAAUGGGUUAUAUCCUUUUCUCAUUGGAUGAAAAUGAUGAUGGCAAUGAGAUGGUUCCCAUUGAAAAUGUUGGUGUGAAUGAACUGCUGUUGAUUCUACAGCAGCUAUAUUUACUGAUGAGGGUUCCAUCUUGUGAUAAUGCUAUCGACCUUAGUCAAGAAUGAUGUUGAUGUUGCCAUGUGAGCAUCUAGUACAAUUCUGGUGUUACUUGUGACAUUAUUUUUCAGUGGCAAUUAGACGAUUCCGUUGUCUAUGACAUGGGAACGUGAUGUGAUGAUCUUAUGUCCUUUUCCCCGUUGGUGGAUGGUAAAGUUUGGUGAUAGACAUCAGACCCAAAAAAAAAAAAAAAAAAGAGGCUUGGUGACAGACAAGAACAUCCCGAUAAAUCGUGUCAAACGUACAAAGAAUUACACAUUUCAAUUAUGAUGGGGUUGAUUUUCAUGAUUAUUACAUGGUUUUUUUUUUCUUUCUCUUUUUGAUAUACUUGCAUAAUGUGUUGUAUACAUAUUGCUUAAUGCUAGCUAGUACGACAAUAAUAACACAAACAUAACCUAGUUCCAGCUGCCCUACAUUACAUGAGUAACAAUCCUUUUAGCUUUGUCACUGCAACAGAAAAUGACUGAUGCUAUAGUUGGAAUUUUCAUCGAACAUACUGCAUUUUUAAUGGAACUCAAGGAAGCCUUGCGUGCUUGGGUUGGUCUGAAUGAAUCUAUUAUAGUUUCUUAUCAAUCAAGCAUCUUAUUUACACAGCCACCACACAGUUCUUUUAGAACUUCCAUAUUGAAUAAGAUCAACAAUUUGUACCAGUCCAUUUGAUAGUCUUUGUUGAAUGUACUCUGUCAUAAAACUUAAGCUCCAUUUGGUGCUAUUUGAGUGCUUACAAAUUUCCUUUAUGCUGCAAUGAACAGCUAGAUGAUAUUUCUGGGGAAAUUGGAAGCAUGCAGAAAUUGUGUCCCUGAAGGUGAAGGACAUACUGGUCGGAAUCUUUUAGACUCGUGUAAUUUUGGGUCAUUCCUACUGGGUGGUGCCCUAUUGGAGGACAGUUUUGUUUGUCCUUAAUGAAAUGUCAAAUUUGGGGCCAUUGGCCCACCGACAAAACCAAAUUGGCUUUACAAUUUGCAAGCAAUCGAGGGAAGUAGGCUGUACCUUGCUAGGCCUUCCCAAGCUCCCAAAACCACAACCAGUCACUCAAGCCUUCUGCCCUUUGAUUUGCUUUGCUGCCUGCCUUCUAAUGCCCUCCAAUCAAUGGCGCCUUCUAAUGCCCUCCAAUCAAUGGCGCCUUUGAUUUAACUCAGCCAACCAGAUUUAUGACACGUGGCUCUUUUGUGGCCACUGCUAGUGACCUCCCAUGUGAUGAUGUGAAGCAAUAUGCAGGCCCAAUCAUCAGAGGAACAAAGCCAGGUCGCAUCAGAUGGAUUGAACAAAUUUCCUUAUCAACGGUGUUUGACAGAGAAAUUUGAUGUGUAGAAAGUCAUUGGUUUAAUACGUUUUGUGUUAAUUCAAAUUUUCCUCUUUCAUGACAAAAAUACAAAAAUCCUAAUUGAAAAUUGGAC